AAUCAACGCCGGCGGCGUGCCUCAGACAUGCAAGUCGAACGAUUAAAGCUCUCUUCGGAGAGUGUAUAGAGUGGCGCACGGGUGAGUAACACGUAAGUAAUCUACCCUCGAGUGGGGAAUAACAACCGGAAACGGUUGCUAAUACCGCAUAAUGCAGCGGCACCGCAAGGUGACAGUUGUUAAAGAUUUAUCGCUUGAGGAGGAGCUUGCGGCAGAUUAGCUAGUUGGUAGGGUAACGGCUUACCAAGGCUACGAUCUGUAACCGGUCUAAGAGGACGGUCGGUCACACUGACACUGAAUAACGGGUCAGGCUCCUACGGGAGGCAGCAGUCGGGAAUUUUGGGCAAUGGGCGAAAGCCUGACCCAGCAACGCCGCGUGAAGGAUGAAGUAUUUCGGUAUGUAAACUUCGAAAGAGUAGGAAGAAUUAAUGACGGUACUAUUUAUAAGGUCCGGCUAACUACGUG
rnacentral:rRNA from 1 species